AUGACGGGUAGGCGGAGUGAGAGCUUGGCCGCCAACCAUGCCACUGAGACACGGACCAUACUCCUACGGGAGGCAGCAGUCGAGAAUAUUCGACAAUGGGGGAAACCCUGAUCGAGCGACGUCGCGUGUGGGAUUAAGAUCUUCGGAUUGUAAACCACUUUUCUGGGGGAAGAAUUUUGACGGUACCUCAGGAAUAAGGGGUGACUAAACUCGUGCCAGCAGUAGCGGUAAUACGAGUGCCCC
rnacentral:rRNA from 1 species